CAUUUUCUCAUUCAUUAGGCAGGGUUGCCACAUUUCGUAAUAUAUUUUAAAAUGCACUUCAUAGUGUAUUUCGGGCAUAAAGUAAAUAACUGCUUUGGUAAAACAAAAUGAAGAAAAAAAUCACUCUUCCAUGCCCAGAAGCAAAAAUUCCCACAAACAAGGAAAAAUAAAAUAAAAUUAAAUCACAAAGGCAAAAAACAAAAAGCACCCAGGCAAACUCUAGACACUGUGAAACAAUUGGUCCUUACUUUGGCUGUCUUUGCCUAAGAAGGAAAAGUGUCAUUGCUCUCUAAGUAACCUUUUUAUCAUCUGGGGAAGAAAAGAGAGAUAUAAGUAGAAUGAUAUUCACGGAGCAAAUUAAAGCAGUCUCUUGUCACCCUGCAUCCACACAGCCAGCCUGCGUCCUCAGUGAGAGAUGAGAGACAGUUGUGGGCAAUAACAAGAGGAGAAUUACAAGCAAAAAGAAAUAGGGCUACUUUGCACCCCUUCCUUGGAGGACUGGGUCUGGGUCGGGUAUUGGCUUGGUUUUGCUGUUUUUACCACGCUUUGGACUGCAGGCUUUUUGAGACUGAGAUUGUUCCUAGCAGCUUUCUCUUCCUCUUUGAAGCCUUAAGGAUUGUGUAUCAGCUCCAUAGUGGAGUCUGCAUCUUCUGUGAAGUUCUUAAAUCUGGAGGAAUUACAGGUGGCCAGAACAGCCAGAAGAUACAAAGUAUGCCAAGUAUGCCAGCAGUACCACACUUUACCUCAAGAAACAUGAGGGUAAAAAUCCAGCUGGGAUUACACAUCAACCAGAUGAAGAUGCUUUGAAUUUACUUUUUAUUUCAU
rnacentral:lncRNA from 1 species